GAAUGGAUUAGUGGCGAACGGGUGAGGAUCACGUGAGAAACCUGCCUUUCAUUUUGGGAUAACACCGGGAAACCGGUGCUAAUACUGGAUACUCCGUCUUGGCGGCAUCGCCGAGCCGGGAAAGAUUUUUCGAUGAAAGAUGGUCUCGCGGCCUAUCAGCUAGUUGGUGAGGUAAUGGCUCACCAAGGCGACGACGGGUAGCCGGCCUGAGAGGGCGACCGGCCACACUGGGACUGAGACACGGCCCAGACUCCUACGGGAGGCAGCAGUGGGGAAUAUUGGGCAAUGGGCGAAAGCCUGACCCAGCGACGCCGCGUGAGGGAUGAAGGCCUUCGGGUUGUAAACCUCUUUCAGUAGGGAAGAAGCGAAAGUGACGGUACCUAAAGAAGAAGCACCGGCUAACUAUGUGCCAGCAGCCGCGGUAAUACAUAGGGUGCAAGCGUUGUCCGGAAUUAUUGGGCGUAAAGAGCUCGUAGGUCGUUUGACACGUCGAUUGUGAAAAUCUGAGGCUCAACCUCAGACCUGCAGUCGAUACGGUCAAACUAGAGUGUGGUAGGGGAGACUGGAAUUCCUGGUGUAGCGGUGGAAUGCGCAGAUAUCAGGAGGAACACCAAUGGCGAAGGCAGGUCUCUGGGCCAUAACUGACACUGAGGAGCGAAAGCGCGGGGAGCGAACAGGAUUAGAUACCCUGGUAGUCCGCGCCGUAAACGGUGGGCACUAGCUGUGGGUCCCUUCCACGGGAUCCGCGACGCAGCAAACGCAUUAAGUGCCCCGCCUGGGGAGUACGAUCGCAAGAUUAAAACUCAAAGGAAUUGACGGGGCCCCGCACAAGCAGCGGAGCAUGCGGCUUAAUUCGACGCAACGCGAAGAACCUUACCAAGGCUUGACAUAUAGCGAAAAGUGGCAGAGAUGUCAUGUCCGCAAGGGCGCUAUACAGGUGGUGCAUGGUUGUCGUCAGCUCGUGUCGUGAGAUGUUGGGUUAAGUCCCGCAACGAGCGCAACCCUCGUUCUGUGUUACCAGCAUUUAGUUGGGGACUCACAGGAGACUGCCGGGGUCAACUCGGAGGAAGGUGGGGAUGACGUCAAAUCAUCAUGCCCCUUAUGUCUUGGGCUGCACGCAUGCUACAAUGGCCGGUACAAAGUGCUGCGAGAUCGUAAGAUUGAGCGAAUCACAUAAAGCCGGUCUCAGUUCGGAUUGAGGUCU
rnacentral:rRNA from 1 species